GACGAACGCUGGCGGCGUGCCUAAUACAUGCAAGUAGAACGCUGAAGGAGGAGCUUGCUUCUCUGGAUGAGUUGCGAACGGGUGAGUAACGCGUAGGUAACCUGCCUGGUAGCGGGGGAUAACUAUUGGAAACGAUAGCUAAUACCGCAUAAGAGUAGAUGUUGCAUGACAUUUGCUUAAAAGGUGCAAUUGCAUCACUACCAGAUGGACCUGCGUUGUAUUAGCUAGUUGGUGGGGUAACGGCUCACCAAGGCGACGAUACAUAGCCGACCUGAGAGGGGGAUCGGCCACACUGGGAAUGAGACACGGCCCAGACUCCUACGGGAGGCAGCAGUAGGGAAUCUUCGGCAAUGGACGGAAGUCUGACCGAGCAACGCCGCGUGAGUGAAGAAGGGUUUCGGAUCGUAAAGCUCUGUUGUAAGAGAAGAACGAGUGUGAGAGUGGAAAGUUCACACUGUGACGGUAUCUUACCAGAAAGGGACGGCUAACUACGUG
rnacentral:rRNA from 1 species